rnacentral:lncRNA from 1 species
AUUUUUUGCUGUCAACUUUCUAGCAAUGCCACGGCAAAGUUGGUGUUUCAGCACAUGCUAGAGUGAGCUCCGGCUUCGUGUCUUUAGCGGAGUUGGUUAAUGUUUCACUGGGUAGACGGAGCUGGCCUCUAUAUUUAGCCAGAAGCCUUUGCCUCUUUUCAGGCAUCAAAAAUGGGUGUUGUCAUUGUCUUUGAGAACAGCAAUUUGAGGUCUGACUCCUUCAGUUGUCCUGUGAGCUGGGCGUUGCAGUCCGCUCGAAUCAAGUGUUGGAAACCCCCCACCCCACCCCUCAGCCCAUCGUGAAACGACAGCUGUCAGCCUGGGGGGUGGCUGCUGAGGAGGUGCAGCAGGAAUGGGGCUGGGCCCGUGGGCCAGCACCAGCUGCCCUUAGGUUUUACUUUCCAAGCCAAUGGCCCCUGGAACAUGCCAGCACACACUGCCAUGUCCUGGGGCUAAGAGCUGCCUUUAGGGACAGGCUCGUGUUGUCCAGUUUGCCCUGAGAGAUGCACCUGACCAGGGGCCCGUCGUGGCUGCAACCCACGGUGGUAUGUUAGUGUUUCCAGGCAGUUGUCAGCAGCUGCCGGGUAGUGUGUGUGUGCGACAGCAGGAGAGUUCCUGGAGGAAAGGGACUGGGGACACUUUCUCAGAGGUUCUCCUGCCUGGAAUCAAGUGAUGCGUGUCCAGAAGGCAAGAGAGGGCGGCUCCGCCUGGUUAAAGUUUGGGAACGGGACGGAGCCAACUCCUCCUUCCAGGACUGUGGGCCCCACUCUUUUGCGCUAACACUUCCCCUCCCUCGGGUCACUGAGGAAAGAGCUGCUCUGUCCCCUCCAGUGCCCUGAAGGUCCCUGGCCUCCACUGGCUGCCAUGGCAGGGGGCCCUUCUGACAGGGGCUGCCCCAAGCUGCUGUUCCUCCUCUGAACCUCUCUGUUAAUACUUUUGUACACUCUCACUACAGUUUAUAUUUUUAUAGGCUAUUUUCUCAAGGUGUUUCUAGAUUCCACAUAUCUAUUUUAUAUAACAAGUUCUUAUGUUAUGUGUGUGACUCCCUUGUGUGUAUCUGUGCCAGCCUCAGCCUCCGAGUUGCUUUUCCCUCUGGCCCUGACUCUCACUGACUCACCGAUGUGAUGUGCAGGCCCACUUCUUACCCCAGAUAGCCUCGGGUGCUGCCUGUAGUCAUGCUGACAGCUGUACAGUAGCCGCCAAGACUGCUGACGGCUGGAGACGGUUCUGGUUUCAACAACUACGGUAUAUUGAUAUCGGAAGUAUUCUAGACAGAUCCUCAGUUGGGUUUUCUAGCUACAUGUUUGUAUUGCACAGAUCCCCACCUGCCAUCCUAUAGUGUUGUCUUCCUGUGUGUUCCGGGGCUUCUGGGCAGCUGGGCCUGCCCGGGGAAGUCCUUGCAGGUGGGAGGCCAUACAGAGACCCAGUGUGUGCCACUGAGCGUCCCACCGCUGCUGGGCAACUGGAGGACUGCAGGGGGCGCCAGGUGACUCUCUCCUUUUAUAUCACAGCAGCUCCUGUGCUGACCUUCAAGUUAUGUUUUGGAACUGUAAUACUAAAGGAAGAAAUAAACUACUAAUUUGUAUAAUAUUCUGCAUUGAAAUUCAGUUAUAGUCACUAGUGAUGGGGCUCACCCCAAGGGCUUGGAGGGUGGGGCAGGGCUUAUUGGUGUUGCGGGGGGCGAGGAGGGGCUCUCCAACCUUCCAGCCUGGCGUUUCUGGGUGUCUCUGCCCUUGGCUCACCCUGGGGCGGGUGCAUCAGGAUGCCUUUGCCAGCAGGGGCAGCCUUGGGAGGCCCCAAGAACCAUGGCCAAGCUGCAGGUGUGGGCUGGGGGCACCGAGGUGGGAAAGCCGGAAGCUGGA